UACGGGGGGAGCAAGCGUUGUUCGGAUUUACUGGGCGUAAAGGGCGCGUAGGCGGUCGUGACAGGUCACUUGUGAAAUCUCCGGGCUUAACUCGGAAAGGUCAAGUGAUACUGUCGGACUAGAGUACAGAAGGGGCAACUGGAAUUCUCGGUGUAGCGGUGAAAUGCGUAGAUAUCGAGAGGAACACCUGCGGCGAAGGCGGGUUGCUGGGCUGACACUGACGCUGACAGCGCGAAAGCUAGGGGAGCGAACGGG
rnacentral:rRNA from 1 species